rnacentral:rRNA from 1 species
UACGGAGGGUGCGAGCGUUAAUCGGAAUCACUGGGCGUAAAGCGCGCGUAGGCGGUCUGUUAAGUGGGAUGUGAAAUCCCCGGGCUUAACCUGGGAAUUGCAUUUCAAACUGGCCGACUAGAGUACGGUAGAGGGAGGUAGAAUUUCCUGUGUAGCGGUGAAAUGCGUAGAUAUAGGAAGGAAUACCAGUGGCGAAGGCGGCCUCCUGGAUCGAUACUGACGCUGAGGCGCGAAAGCGUGGGGAGCAAACGGG